ensembl:lncRNA
CCGCUGCUCGCGCCUGCGCGCAGGCCACGGAUCCUCCUCCGCGCGCGCCCUGCCCCCCACACGCCCUCGCUCGAACACACACUUCGCCUCUGUGACCCCGCCCCUCACCGGCCAGCUGCGUUGGCGGCCCUCCCCCACCUCGCCUGGGAGGGUGGUGACCCCCGACCCCCCAGAAAGCACAACACCCCCCAAACAGUGGGGAGAAGCGCCCCGGUCCCCUUCAGCCGCCCUCUGCCCCAGUCAGCCCGUUACAGUCACACAACCUGAGGGCCGGGCGGCCUGGGCGAGGGCAGCCGUUGCCCGCCUCAAAGCGGGGGUCUCCCAGGGUCAGGCCUCUGGGCCGGGUCGGCCAGACUGCCCAGGGCGAGGGGGCGCAGGGAAGGGGCGCCUUCCCGCCGGCUGCCCUCCCCUCGCGCGCCCGCCGCUGGGCCGAGGCCGGCCUGCCCGCCAUCCCCGGGCAGGCCCUUGGCGCCCCCGCCGCGGGGCCCGUCCGCCCUCGGCUCGGGGGGCUGCUCGGUGCAGCAGCCCGGCCCCGCCUCACCCACUCCUCGCCGCUCCAAAGGGGCAGGAAACGGGAGUAGCAUGUCUGUCCUGGGCUCGCCUCCCCUGGGGGGAGCUCCGGGCGCUUGACAAGGGCGUCCACAGGUACCAGGCUCGGGAAUGGUCGCCGCGACGGCCCGGGGGCGUUGGCGGCUGGCGCGCCCACCGCGGGCCCGAGGCGCCCUGGGAGGUGGCCCUGGAAGCCCCCGCUCCUCGGCCACGCUCAGGUUUCCGCAGCGCCCGUGCCCCCGGCGGCCCGGGUGGGACGUGACCCCGCCCCCGGCGAGUCGGGGCGCCCCCCAAGGAGGGGUGCGCGAGCCGUCCUCAGCCCCCGGGCCGACCCCGCCGCCCCGGGCCGCGGCGGGCGCGGGAGGCCCGGCCGGGAAGAUGUCGUCUCUCGGUGCGCGCAGCUUCACGCGAGGGUCAGCGACGGGGCAGCGGCCGCCUAGCCGUGCCAGCCCUGCCCACGAACGGGCUCCCGCGGCUCGACAGCUGCCCGACGGGCUUGCAGGCUGGGGACGUCGUCGGAGCCCGGCCGGAGGACAUCUUUGGAAAUAAGCUAAAGUGCCCGGUAGCAUUAUACUCAUUUCAAAGAUAAGGCACUUGAAGUACAGAAAGCUUGCAUGACUACUCAUAGAGAGGAGUUCAGCUCUGCCAUACCAGACCUCAGCACCUCACUAACAACAAAAGGAUUAUUGUGGAGUCAAAUGGACUAAUCAACAACCUCCUAUGGAAGCUGGAAGACAAUGUAUUUACAAAGGAUUGCUGGUUCUCAUUUCUUUUUAUUUAUUUUCCUAUAAGAAAGAUUUGUUACCAAGUACCUUGUGCUUAACACUAAAUUAAGUGCUGGGAUGGAAAAAGGAGAUUUGAAAAGUUAGAAAGCAUGGAUUUUGCUCUUGAAGACUUUGCACCAUGGAAGAGAUGCCAGGAAGAUGCGACAUACUAAGAUAACGGUGGUCAUGACCGUGAAUUGCUGGAAAAUACUGUAGGCAAGAAGAACUGGAUAUAGAAUUCCACUGGGCUGUGGGCCCCACGGGACAGGAAGUUUUGUUCCUUUUGUUUAUGUUUGCUGAUACCAUGCUGGGAGCCUAGAACAGUGCCCGGCGGAGUUGGCCCUGACUCAGUCAUUGGUGUUUAUUGAACCAAUGAAGAUCAGUGGUGCUUUGAGGGACAAAGAAGCAUGAAGGCUGGGGGGCUUUGAACGCUUGCAAAGUUUGAUUUUGACAGAGUAAGAAAGGCACAUAUGUUCUGCAGCAAAGGUUUGAUAUACUAUCGAUUAUUCCAGGUAAACUAUUCCUGCAGCUGUCACUUCAGCUAAAGUAGAGGUGAUAGAAACUGAAGUCCUUACUACUGCAAACCACACCGUGAGGCAAGUUUGCAAAUUUUAGGCCAAGUACAUCAUUCUAUUGUAGCUUCUCUUGUGAUCUAGUCUUUCUGCUCCACUUAUCUCUGCCGUCUGCAGUUUCUGGGUGUCGUCCGUAGAGUCCAUAUCAGAGCACAGCUGUUGAUAUGACAUUAUAAAGUUAAUAUCACCAGCCGACUUUUUUUCAAAAUGCCUCUUUAAUUAUACUAAUGUUCAUUAUCUUUGGCGUGUUUAGUUUUAAAAUGACAGUCUCCCUUUUUUCCCCAAAUGCUUGCUAAAUGUUUAAACUCUGAAAUGUAUUCAGUCUUCUUUUUCUUCCUGGCUAAAUCUAUUUUUGCACCCUCUGGGGGACUGCAAAAAAAUAUUGACUGCAGUUAAGGUGAGAUUUCCACAUCAUGUUUUUUUUGCAAAUAUACUUGAUUUGCCACAGCUUGCCGUUCAUGUUUUGAUUUGGUCAUAAUUACUAGGUCUGCUUCUAUUGUUGAUCUAAUUAUCUUCUUAUUGGUAAAUUACGUUUCCUUAGUUAACUUUCAAUUCUUCUAUAAUUUUAUUGGUAUAAGGAAUGUGAGAGAUAUAAGAGCUAUACCUUAGUCCUUUAUUAUUAAAACUGCUUACAAGAUGUACACAUCUGUUGGGAAUUCCUUGGUCGUCCCCUGGUUAAGACUCUGAGUUUCCACUGCAGGGAUGUGGGUUCAGUCCCUUCUGGGGGAACUAAGAUCCCACAUACUGAGAGGUACCGCCAAAAAAAAAGAUUGACACGUCGAUGUUUUUAAUGCACAUUUUAUACUGGUGAAGGCUAAUGUUUUGUAUACAUGUUAAUAUUUUUAUGAUGUAUUUUAAAAUUUUCUAUUUCAUUUCAGUAUUUAGUGCUUAUUUGCUAUUUCCUGUAUUUUGUGCGUUACAGUUGACAAAUUCAGAAAAGUGGGCAAAUUGAAUUCCCAGUUCUGGAUUGCUGGAAGAUAAAUAUAGACUUGGCAGAAGCUUGCUUAUUCUGAAUUCACAUUAUUCCUCUUGAAGGGACCAUAUUCAUUUCUAUAUGCAUUUAAGUUGCUCCUUAAUACACAGGCCUGUAAUUCUGAAAGCUAUUGAUAGUAAAACAAUA